rnacentral:rRNA from 1 species
UACUGGGGGGGCUAGCGUUAUUCAUAUUUAAUUGGUGUAAAGUGUGCGUAGAUGAUGUAAUUAAUUUAAAUUUAAAGCCCAAUGAAAUAUUGGGAAAGUUUAUUUAAAUAUUGUUAUGUUUUGUGUAAAAAUAAGGAUAUGGGAAUUCCUAGUGUAACGGGGUAAAAUCUAUAAAAAUUAGGAAGAAUAUCAGUUGGCGAAGGCGAGUAUCUGGUUUUUACAAACAUUGAGGCACGAAGGCAUGGGUAUCAAAUGGG